GCAGAAAGGGCCCGUAAUGAGGGCUGAAAUGUUCUAUUUCGUGAGUAACCAACCUUUCUCUGUCUCCUUGUCCAGGAAACGGAGGUGGAGCUGUACAACGAAUUUCCUGAACCUAUCAAACUGGACAAGAAUGACCGGGCCAAGGCCUCGGCAGAAAGCUGCAGUUGCUGAGGGGGCAGUGAGAGUUGAGCACAGAGUCCUUCACAAACCAAGAACACACGUAGGCCUUCAACACAAUUCCCCUCUCCUCUUCCAAACAAAACAUACAUUGAUCUCUCACAUCCAGCUGCCAAAAGAAAACCACAUCAAACACAGUUACACCCCACAUAUCUCACACACACACACACACACACACACACACACACACACACACAGAUCUGACGUAAUCAAACUCCAGCCCUUGCCUGUGAUGGCUCCUUGGGGUCUGCCUGCCCGCCUACAUGAGCCUGCGAGUAAUGGCAGCAGGACAAGCCAGCGGUGGAAGUCAUUCUGAUAUGGAGUUGGCAUUGGAAGCUUAUUCUUUUUGUUCACUGGAGAGAGAGAGAACUGUUUACAGUUAAUCUGUGUCUAAUUAUCUGAUUUUUUUUUAACAGUCUUGUGGUCUUUUUACCCCCCCUUUCCCCUCCCUCCUUGAAGGCUACCCCUUGGGAAGGCUGGUGCCCCAUGCCCCAUUACAGGCUCACACCCAGUCUGAUCAGGCUGAGUUUUGUAUGUAUCUAUCUGUUAAUGCUUGUUACUUUUAACUAAUCAGAUCUUUUUACAGUAUCCAUUUAUUAUGUAAUGCUUCUUAGAAAAGAAUCUUAUAGUACAUGUUAAUAUAUGCAACCAAUUAAAAUGUAUAAAUUAGUGUAAGAAAUUCUUGGAUUAUGUGUUUAAGUCCUGUAAUGCAGGCAUGUAAGAUGGAGGGUUGAACCCUGUUUGGAUUGCAGAGUGUUAACUCAGAAUUGGGAAAUCCAGCUAGCGGCAGUAUUCUGUACAGUAGACACAAGAAUUACGUGCGCCUUUUAUCAAAGACUUAAGAGCCAAAAAGCUUUUCAUCUCUCCAGGGGGAAAACUGUCUAGUUCCCUUCUGUGUUUAAAUUUUCCAAAAGGUUGAUUUGCAUAAUACAGUGGUAUGUGCAAUGGAUAAAUUGCCGUUAUUUCAAAAAUUAAAAUUCUCAUUUUCUUUCUUUUUUUCCCCACUGCUCCACACUUCAAAACUCCCCUGUUAGAUCAGCAUCCUACUGUGAGAGUAAAAGGAAAACCCUAACAGAUCUGUCCUAGUGAUUUUACCUUUGUUCUAGAAGGCGCUCCUUUCAGGGUUGUGGUAUCCUUAGGUUAGCGGAGCUUUUUCCUCUUUUCCCCACCCAUCUCCCCAAUAUUGCCCAUUAUUAAUUAACCUGUUUCUUUGGUUGGAAUCCUGGCAGUUCUGCUCCCUUCCUAGGAUCUGCCCCCACAUUGUAGCUUGCUUAACGGAGCACUUCUUCUUUUUCCAAAGGUCUGCAUUCUAGGGUGUGGGCUGAGUUCUUCUGUAAAGAGAUGAACGCAAUGCCAAUAAAAUUGAACAAGAACAAUGAU